CUUCUGUUCUUUACCAGGCUUCUCCCAGUCCUUUUUUUUGAAGUAUCUGUCCUGGAGCAGAGGCUGGUGAAGGGAACCCGCCCCGGAGCGGAGACCGGCGAGGGGAACCCGUCCCGGAGCGGAGACCGGUACUUCAAUUUAGAGGACACACCAAGAUGUUAGGACAGUGAGACGAGGCCCUUAAGCUGACCAGGCCUAGGUUAAAUCAAAGAGAGACACGAAGGUAGCAGGAUUUCCAUCUUUUGGCCUCCUAUGCAACAAUAUGUCCUUAUCUCUGGGGAUUUGGCAGUAUUAAAUGCUGCUCUAAGAAUUGCUAUUUGAAAUUGACCUCUAUGAAAUGCACAACAAUUGUUUAAGGACUACCAUGUAAAGCACCACUGAACCUCCACUUCCUUCUGAGCAAAAUGUGGCUAAAAUGAAGUACUUUUAGCCUGAACAUGAUUGCUUCACGACAAAACGCUGGAGCUCAUCUAUGCUACGGAAUGAAUUAAUAAAAAAUAUUUAGUAUGUGCAAUAUGAUUCAAAAAUCAGAGAAAUUUUGAAAGCAGUCUAGGAACUCAGAGCUAAAGCCAUUAUCCAAACUUCGAGUCACGGUUUAAUCCUUCUUCAGGAUUCAAAAGAAAACUGAACAUUAUAUUUGUGUAAGGUAUUUGUUAAAUCUAUUUGGAUUUGGGUAUUAAUGUUUGAACAUUUAACAUAACCUUUACAA